rnacentral:rRNA from 1 species
UACGUAGGGGGCUAGCGUUGUCCGGAAUCAUUGGGCGUAAAGAGCGUGUAGGCGGUCCGGUAAGUCCGCUGUGAAAGUCAAGGGCUCAACCCUUGAAUGCCGGUUGAUACUGUCGGGCUAGAGUCCGGAAGAGGCGAGUGGAAUUCCCGGUGUAGCGGUGAAAUGCGCAGAUAUCAGGAGGAACACCAAUGGCGAAGGCAGCUCGCUGGAACGGUACUGACGCUGAGGCGCGAAAGCGUGGGGAGCAAACAGG